CAUUAUCGCGCGAUUUUUAUGUGUAUCUAUCAUUUUUCUCAUUCUAACAUUCAGAAAAUUUUUCACUCUGUCUUGCUCUUCUGGGUGUUGGUCACUUUUUGCUCGCAACUUGGCUGUGUUUCACCAACCAUCCUCAUGUUGCAUAUGGUUCUUCUCUUUCCAUCGUUCGAGAGAAACUCUUGUGUCUCGCUUUUCUGGGACUUGUCCAAUUUCGCUUGCUACACCAAGCGUUCACGCAAGCGAUCUUCUCUCGUCCGCUCUUUGUAUCAUCUUGCAGGUACUCCCCGAUAUACGCUAUUAAUGCGGACCGGAGGCAAUAGCGUAUCUCGAAUAUUAGCAAACGUCGAGUUUUCAGUCAAAUUAUAGCUAAUUUUCGUAUAAUUUUGCUUGAAGUGGUAGGAUUAACCACUUAAUUAGUUAUUUGAUCUGAUUCAACUGAAGAUUACAAUUGUACCCCUUUUGAAAUGGCUUUUAAUAUUCGAUCAAAAGGGAAUUUAUUUUGAAUUUGAUAUUCGACGUGUCAAAUUAGUACAAUUUGCUCAAAGAACUUUCAAAUUUAGAAAAAAAGCUUAUAGCGAAAUCGCGUAUAUCGAGUAUGGCGUAUAUCGGGGAAUACCUGUAUAGCCACCAGAGGAAGGCGCUGCUUCGCGUUCACAUGAAAAUGUGGUAGUGUGAAAUCAAGUUUGCAAGCGGUAGGCUACGUCGAUGCGUGCCCGUUUUUUUCUCUCGUGAAACCAGUACGGAAAAACUAUUUGGUAAGUACAGCUUUUAAUAAAGGAUUAUAUCAAUAUGUAUCAAACUGAAUGGUAUUAAUAAUUGGUGAUAUCAAAUCAAUUUCGUUUUCUAUAGCAAAUCGUAACACACGCACAAACGGAAGUGAGCACGGACCACGAUAGAAAUAAUCAAUUGGUUGCAGUGCCAAAAACAAAAGGACAGGAGAGGCAGGAACGAUCCUCCAACGUGCUACCGCCUGGUAGAGGAGAGGCGGCAGGAAGGUAGGGACGAUCAUCCAGCGCGCUAGCGCAGCAUGUGGGAGCAUCGAGAGGGAGGCAAGCAGGAAGAAUUUUUAACGUGUGGACACAAUUCGACGAAGACAACGCUGGAUUAUAGGAAGAACGAGGAGAGAAGGCAGGCAAGACGGGUACGUGUGUAUCCCGCACCGGUUUUCGGCAGUGUGAAUUGUGUGAGUAUUGAAAAGUGUAUGUGUGAGUAGAGGUAAAGAGGUUAAAUAAAGAGCGAAUGUGUGGAAUGGAAAAAU